UUUGCCAAUAUUAAGAACACUAUUUUUUUCGCCGAAUAUUUAGAAUAUGAAGCAUGUGCUUUUGCAUCCCUAUUACGGAUAUAUCACUGUUAUGACAGAAAUGCAAUAUCCAAGCAGCUAAUACUAAAGAUAGGGUUUGUUGGUUUGAUCCUAAGUCUACCUUACAAGAAUUUGGUUACAAGAAUUUUCUUGCUCGGGAUUCGGCCAAUUUAAGCAAAAGAAUUGUACCACGGCAACUAAAGGGGCAUGUGUAUUCCAAAAAAGUGGAAACCAUACAGACAUUGGCCAAAUAUUACCAGGGCCGAUUAUUGGCAGAGUAUAUUUUGGCCAUGAACCAAACAUACUCAUAGUGCCCUGUCUAUGAACACCGAGAAGAUUCGCAAGUCACACUGCAUGUCUUUUUAUACUAUUAUCAUUUUGCGAGGAAGCAUGGUUCAAAGUUUCAUUAAUAAAAUUUCUCACCUUAACCCUCUUAACAAAGCUAAGAGAUUCCUCAAAUGUGACAGGUUCCCACUUAGACAUGGAGCCCCGACAGCUCAGGACCAGACCCUGGAUUGCCUUUAAAGACACAAAAUUCCACAGAUUACUGCAGAAGUUCAGAACCAAGAGAAUACAGUUUGUCGACAAUUACUCGAGAGCAGAACCAAAACUCACAAGAUUUGAUUUUAAGAAAAGAGAACGGGAACAUUAGAGCUCACAAAAGGUAAGCAUAAUAACUUUGUCAACACCAAAAAUCAUUUUAAUUAUCCUGCAGUGUUCAAUUUUCCAGGUAGAAGAGAUGAUAUUCUGCUGGCAGCGAUUGGAACAAAACAGUUUAUUCUGACCAGCUCCAUGGUCAAAAUUCACAAGGCACAAAUAUCAUCCACAAACAACAGGUACAGAUUUGGGGCAGUCGCCAGGACAAGUAAUUAAUCAACAAAUCAGGAAGCAAACCUAUAAACAGGAUAUAAACUGCAGUUAUCAGAAUCAGAUGAACGCAUUCUUUUAGGAGCGGUGAUCAAGAACGAGAACCAGACCACCAAAAUCCAUCUCUAGGCAACGGAGUGAGGGUUCUCGGAAAAAAAAGGAAAGGUUCUUUCUCACCUGGAACAGACAAGAAAUGGAUGAGAUUGGGAGUCACUGCGAACAGCUUUUCAUCCGAAUGAGCGAGCCCUUUGGAAUCCGUCAGGCAGACAGGCGAGAAGAGAAGGAUUAGGUUGGAGAUGGCAAAAGGGGGAGAGGAGGGGAGACUAGAGGAAGGAGGCUGCGCAACAGCAACUGGGCGGGGUGGCAGCUGGGGGUUGGACUCGAGCGAAGUUGGGGGCGAAAGCAGAGACCGGGAGGGCGAAGGGGGCAGCUGCUGGGAGUGGGAGCGAGAGAAAAUAUGCGGUGAAAAAAGUUACAGUGAAAAAUAGAGGCGUGUUUGGUUGCCAUCAGCUAGGCUACGGUACCUGCGCUGCAUACCCUUUCUACUCAGCCUGGCUCUGAAAAAACAACCUCAUAUGUAACAUCUGCAAGUUGUUUGGUUGUCUGCAUAUGAACUUCCUGCAUUAUGGGAUCAA